CCUAUAUGGUGGUUCGCUAUCGUGUAGCUAGUGAUGUCAUACUUCCAAGAAAAGCUCAUACAUCUUUAUAAUUUAAUUCCCUGUACCUGAAACCGACACAGGUAGGUUGGUAGAGAAUACCAAGGGGCGCGAGAGAACUCUCUCUAAGGAACUCAGCAAACUGGCCCCGUAACUUCGGAAGAAGGGGCGCCCAAAAUUCAUUUUUUGGGUCGCAGUGACCCGGCUCAGGCGACUGUUUACCAAAAACACAGGUCUCCGCAAAGUCGUAAGACAAUAUAUGGGGGCUGACGCCUGCCCAGUGCCGGAAGGUUAAGGAAGUUGGUUAUUUCGUAAGAAAAAAGCUGACGACCGAAGCCCCGGUGAACGGCGGUCGUAACCAUAACGAUCCUAAGGUAGCGAAAUUCAUUGUCGAGUAAGUUUCGACCUGCACGAAAGGCGUAACGAUCUGAGCGCUGUCUCAGAGAGAGGCUCGGUGAAAUAGACUUGUCCCGUGAAGAUGCGGACUACCUACACCUGGACAGAAAGACCCUAUGAAGCUUGACUGUAUCUUGGAAUUGGGUUUGGGCUUUUCUUGCGCAGCCUAGGUGGGAGGCUAUGAAGAUUACCUUCCGGGGUAAUUAGAGCCGUCAUUGAGAGACCACUCUGGGAGAGCUAGAAUCCUAAUGGGGUUCCUUGAAUCAGGACCCUUGACAGUUUCAGGUGGGCUGUUUAUUUGGGGCGAAUGCCUCCUAAAAGGUAACGGAGGCGUGCAAAGGUUCCCUCAGUCUGGACGGAAAUCAGACAUUGAGUGUAAAGGCAAAAGGGAGCUUGACUGCAAGACCUACAUGUCGAGCAGGGGCGAAAGCCGGCCUUAGUGAUCCGACGGUGCCGUGUGGAAGGGCCGUCGCUCAACGGAUAAAAGUUACUCUAAGGAUAACAGGCUGAUCUUCCCCAAGAGUUCACAUCGACGGGAAGGUUUGGCACCUCGAUGUCGGCUCAUCACAUCCUCGGUCUGUAGUAGGUCCGAAGGGUUGGGCUGUUCGCCCAUUAAAGUGGUACGUGAGCUGGGUUCAAAACGUCGUGAGACAGUUUGGUCCAUAUCCGGUGUAGGCGCUAGAGCAUUGAGAGUAGCCUUUCAUAGUACGAGAGGACCUGAAAGGACGUGCCAAUUGCGUACCAGUUCUUGCUCCAGCAGGAAACGCUGGGUAGCUACGCACGGAUAGAUAACCGCUGAAAGCAUCUAAGUGGGAGGCUAAACUCAAGAUGAGUGCUCUCUAAGGCCACAGCUAGACAAGCUGAUUGAUAGGUAUCAGGUGUACAGUCAGCAAUGGCUUCAGCCGAGAUAUACUAAAGGCCGUUUGAUUUU
rnacentral:rRNA from 1 species